rnacentral:rRNA from 1 species
GAACGCUGGCGGCAUGCCUAACACAUGCAAGUCGAACGAGGCCCUUCGGGGUUUAGUGGCGCACGGGUGCGUAACGCGUGGGAAUUUGCCCUUUGGUUUGGAAUAACAGCUGGAAACGGCUGCUAAUUCCGGAUGAUGACGAGAGUCCAAAGAUUUAUUGCCAGAGGAUGAGCCCGCGUUGGAUUAGGUAGUUGGUGGGGUAAAGGCCUACCAAGCCGACGAUCCAUAGCUGGUUUGAGAGGAUGAUCAGCCCCACUGGGACUGAGACACGGCCCCGACUCCUUCGGGAGGCAGCAGUGGGGAAUAUUGGACAAUGGGCGCAAGCCUGAUCCAGCAAUGCCGCGUGAGUGAUGAAGGCCCUAGGGUUGUAAAGCUUUUUUUCCCGGGAAGAUAAUGACUGUUCCAGGGGGAAUAAGCCCCGGCUAACUCCGUG